rnacentral:lncRNA from 1 species
GGCUGCUCCAGCGGGAUGAGCUGCUCUGGCAGGGCGAGCUGCCCGUGCUGCAGCAGCCGCGGGGCUGAGGGCUGCCAGCGUCACUGCUCUGCCUCUGCUGGGCACCAGGGACAGCCCAGCUCGGCGUGGGGACCCUGCCAUGCUGCUGCUCACCCUGGAGCAGUUUCCACUUCUCUUUCUUGGGCGCCCGCUGAGCAAGGGGGGCUGCCCAGUUUUGCAUUUUUAUUCUGCAAGGGGAGAACUGUGCCUGAGGGUGUCACUCAGGUGAGUGCCCCGUGUUCUUGUGAGCAGCGAGAGGCUCCUUUUGUGUCCGAGCUCUGCUCCCAGCAGCGGUUUGAGCUUCCAGGCUCAGGACUCCCCAUCCCUGUCCCGUCCCUUGUGUCCGGUGUGAGGACAGGUCCCACCCACCCAAAGCCAUCGCGGGGCGCUCCAGGUGACACCUGCACCCCACCCACGGCUGUAUCACCCGGGGCUGGGUCAGGACCCUUUGGUGAUGGGCUGUGACCCAAGGAUAUUCCCAGGGGUCCGGACAGCCUCUCCCGAUGCCGCAGCCCGGAGGGGGACAGGACCCGUCCCGAGCGCUCCCCGCUGGCACCGAGCCCCGUCCGCGGCUCCCGGGGGGAGCGGCCGCAGUUCCCGAGCGCCUUUCCCAGCACGGAGACCGAGCCCCGCCGUUCCCGUCCUUCUGAUCCCUCUCUGGCCGCCAAUUAGCACGACGUGAGAACUUGUCUCGCUGCUGACGCGCCCGUGUGACUCCUCAGAUGCUUUAAUUGCGGUGUUUUCUGCGGCCGGGUGCAAUGAAAUGGUAAUUGUUGUGAUUGUGCGCCGGGCGGGAACUGAGAGAUGCAGCUCUUUGGCGAAGCCUAAUUAGGAAAUAGGGACACUGUUGGGAAUGGCUCUGCGAUGUGAUUUUCCUAAUGAAAGCCGCUGAAUAGGCAGCCUUGUGAUGAAGAACAGCCUCGCGAGGGCACUGCCAAUUGCUCUUCUCUAGUGUUAAUUUUGUAUUUCCUCCCCAUUGUUUCUAAUACCCUCU